CAAUAGCGUAUAUUAAAGUUGUUGCAGUUAAAAAGCUCGUAGUUGGACUUGUGGUGGUUCCUGUGGUCCAAUUUUGGUACUAUCGGGGACUGCCAUCUUUGGGUGGAUCCUGUGUGGCAUUAGGUUGUCGUGCAGGGGAUGCCCAUCGUUUACUGUGAAAAAAUUAGAGUGUUCAAAGCAGGCUUAUGCCGUUGAAUAUAUUAGCAUGGAAUAAUGAGAUAGGACCUUGGUACUAUUUUGUUGGUUUGCGCACCGAGGUAAUGAUUAAUAGGGACAGUUGUGGGUAUUCGUAUUCCAUUGUCAGAGGUGAAAUUCUUGGAUUUCUGGAAGACGAACUAAUGCGAAAGCAUUUACCAAGGAUGUUUUCAUUAA
rnacentral:rRNA from 1 species